CCUACGGGAGGCAGCAGUGGGGAAUUUUGGACAAUGGGCGCAAGCCUGAUCCAGCCAUGCCGCGUGCAGGAUGAAGGCCUUCGGGUUGUAAACUGCUUUUGUACGGAACGAAAAGGUUUGGCCUAAUAAGCUGAGCUCAUGACGGUACCGUAAGAAUAAGCACCGGCUAACUACGUGCCAGCAGCCGCGGUAAUACGUAGGGUGCGAGCGUUAAUCGGAAUUACUGGGCGUAAAGCGUGCGCAGGCGGUUAUGUAAGACAGAUGUGAAAUCCCCGGGCUCAACCUGGGAACUGCAUUAGUGACUGCAUAGCUGGAGUACGGCAGAGGGGGGAUGGAAUUCCGCGUGUAGCAGUGAAAUGCGUAGAUAUGCGGAGGAACACCGAUGGCGAAGGCAAUCCCCUGGGCCUGUACUGACGCUCAUGCACGAAAGCGUGGGGAGCAAACAGGAUUAGAUGCCCUGGUAGUCCACGCCCUAAACGAUGUCAACUGGUUGUUGGGUCUUCACUGACUCAGUAACGAAGCUAACGCGUGAAGUUGACCGCCUGGGGAGUACGGCCGCGAAGGUUGAAACUCAAAGGAUUGACGGCUUGAGCGNGCGAGGCGACGACGAGGGAGGAGG
rnacentral:rRNA from 1 species